UGAGGAAUCUUCCACAAUGGGCGCAAGCCUGAUGGAGCAAUGCCGCGUGCAGGAAGACGCUUUUCGGAGUGUAAACUGCUUUUCUGAAGGAAGAUUAUGACGGUACUUCAGGAAUAAGGAUCGGCUAACUACGUGCCAGCAGCCGCGGUAAUACGUAGGAUCCAAGCGUUAUCCGGAAUUAUUGGGCGUAAAGCGUGCGCAGACGGUUUGAAAGGUCUUAUGCGAAAUCCUGUGGCUCAACCACAAGGACUGUAUGAGAAACCAUCUGACUAGAGGUAGGUAGAGGCAAGUGGAAUUUCUGGUGUAGGGGUGACAUCCGUAGAUAUCAGAAGGAACACCAAUGGCGAAGGCAGCUUGCUGGGCCUUACCUGACGUUCAGGCACGAAAGCGUGGGGAGCGAACAGG
rnacentral:rRNA from 1 species